GAUGAACGCUAGCGGCAGGCUUAAUACAUGCAAGUCGAGGGGCAGCACAGAUAGCAAUAUUGGGUGGCGACCGGCAAACGGGUGCGGAACACGUACACGACCUUCCUUUUAGUGUGGGAUAGCCCAGAGAAAUUUGGAUUAAUACCACAUAGUAUAUUGGAGUGGCAUCACUUUGAUAUUAAAGAUUUAUCGCAAAAAGAUGGGUGUGCGUAUGAUUAGGUAGUUGGUAGAGGUAACGGCUCACCAAGCCUUCGAUCAUUAACUGAUGUGAGGGCACGACCAGUCACACGGGCACUGAGACACGGGCCCGACUCCUACGGGAGGCAGCAGUAAGGAAUAUUGGUCAAUGGACGGAAGUCUGAACCAGCCAUGCCGCGUGAAGGAUGACGGCCCUCUGGGUUGUAACUUCUUUUAUGUGGGACGAAAAAGGGCCAUUUUUGGUCAACUGACGGUACCAUAGGAAUAAGCACCGGCUAACUCCGUGCCAGCAGCCGCAGUAA
rnacentral:rRNA from 1 species